AUUGAACGCUGGCGGCAUGCCUUACACAUGCAAGUCGAACGGCAGCACGGGUGCUUGCACCUGGUGGCGAGUGGCGAACGGGUGAGUAAUACAUCGGAACGUACCUUAUCGUGGGGGAUAACGCAGCGAAAGCUGUGCUAAUACCGCAUACGCCCUGCGGGGGAAAGCGGGGGAUCGCAAGACCUCGCGCGAUUAGAGCGGCCGAUGCCUGAUUCGCUUGUUGGUGGGGUAAAAGCCCACCAAGGCGACGAUCAGUAGCUGGUCUGAGAGGACGAUCAGCCACACUGGGACUGAGACACGGCCCAGACUCCUACGGGAGGCAGCAGUGGGGAAUUUUGGACAAUGGGGGCAACCCUGAUCCAGCAAUGCCGCGUGAGUGAAGAAGGCCUUCGGGUUGUAAAGCUCUUUUGUCAGGGAAGAAACACCGGCUCUAACACAGUCUGGGAAUGACGGUACCUGAAGGAUAAGCACCGGCUAACUACGUGCCAGCCGCCGCAGUAA
rnacentral:rRNA from 1 species